rnacentral:lncRNA from 1 species
AUGUGCGUCGGGGUCAGAGCGCGCAUUGUUUACACCGCGGAGCAGCUGAUCGCGCUGCGCAGCGCCGUAGUUCUGCCCAGAGACGGACACGGGAUCACCGCUGAGGUGCUGGUGAAGUCCCGACGUGGGCGCCGCGCUGGAGAACUGCGACGGGAGAAAACGAGACGCUUCAGGCCCGCUGUCCCCUCCGUCAUCAUGGGGAACGUGAGAUCUCUCGCCAACAAGAUCGACGAGCUCGCGGCGCUCACACGGUACCAGCCGGAGUACAGAACGAGCAGCGUCCUGCUGUUCACGGAGACCUGGCUGACGUCACUCAUCCCGGACUCGACUGUCGCACUGGACAAUUUUCAUCUGCUACGUGCGGACAGAACGGAGAACAGCGGUAAGAGGAAGGGAGGGGGUCUGGCUGUGUUUGUGAACAUCAGGUGGUGUAUGCCACGACAUUGCACUGUCAAAAUGAAGCUGUGUAACAGAGACAUUGAGCUGUUGGCAGUGGGCAUGAGGCCAUUCUACCUGCCAAGGGAGUUCACACACGUUAUAAUAAUUGCUGUGUGCGUCCCACCCUCCGCUAACGCUGACACAGCUUCUGAGACCCUGCUCUCAGUCACCAGCAGGCUGCAAACACAGCACCCACAGGCCCUCUUCCUGAUCUCUGGGGACUUUAACCAUGCACCUCCUUCAGCUGCUCUGUCUACAUACACCCAGUAUGUGACCUGCCCCACCAGAGACAAUAAAACACUGGACUUAUUCUAUGCCUGUUGUACACAGGUGGUGCCCCGCACAGUGAAGAGGUGGACAGCUGAGAGCGAGGAGGCUCUCAGGGACUGUUUUAACACCCCUGUGUGGACGGAGCUCUGCGACCCACAUGGGGAGGACAUUAACGCAAUAACAGACUGUGUAACGGACUACAUAAACUUCUGCUGUGAAAACACUGUUCCCACCAGGCGGGUUCGGUGUUUCACCAACAGCAAACCAUGGGUCACCCCUGAUAUUAAAGCUCUGCUAAAGGAGAAGAAGAGAGCAUUUAAAUCAGGGGACAGGGAGGAGCUGAGGAGGGUGCAGAAGGAGCUGAGGAGGAAAAUCCGUGAGGGGAAUUCCAGCUACAGGAGGAAGAUGGAGGAGCAGCUGCAGCAGAACAAUGUGAGUGAGGUGUGGAGGAGCCUGAAAACCAUCUCAGGCUUCAAAGCUCCACACCCACAGGCUGAGGGGGACCUGAGCUGGGUCAACGAGCUGAACUCACACUUUAAUAGGUUUGACCAAGCACCCACUCACACCUCCCAGCAGCUGCCUCCGAACCUCUUGUCACCUCAUACCACUGGAUUACCAGCCCCCACAGCCCUUCACACCUUUACACAAAGCCCUCUACCCUCAGCCCUGACGACUGGUGACUCAUCCCAACCACACCCCCUCACUUCACACCACACUGAGUCACUUCCUCAACCCCACACUUCACACCACACUAAGACACUCCCUCCACCCCUAUCCUUCUCCAGCACCCAGGUGAGAAGUGAGCUCAGGAAGAUCAAGGCCAGGAAAGCAGCUGGACCAGACGGCAUCAGCUCCAGACUCCUUAAGUCCUGUGCAGGCGAACUGUGUGGAGUUAUGGAGCAUGUCUUCAACCUGAGCCUCAAGCUGAGGGUGGUACCACAGCUCUGGAAGACCUCCUGCGUGGUACCAGUGCCCAAGACACCGCACGCCAAAGACCCCAGCAGCUUCAGACCAGUGGCUCUGACAUCACACCUGAUGAAGACACUGGAGAGACUGGUCCUGGGUAACCUCCGCUCUGCAGUGGGAACCUACCUGGACCCGCUGCAGUUCGCCUACCGACACGGCAUAGGAGUAGACGACGCCGUCAUCUUCCUCCUACAUCGAGCCCUUUUUCCACCUAGAGAAGCCCGGCAGCACUGUGAGGAUCAUGUUCUUUGA